UGCGGGACUGCAGGGCCCUUGCGGUACUGGUCAUUUUUCAAUUGUAAAGAGGAUAAAUCCUGGGCAGGAAAGGAUGAGAAUCUGCAGAGGCGAAUUAAGAUGGAGAAAGCUCGCUGCUCUUUGAGGACGUGAGUCAAUAAGAGACACACAGUUCUUCUGAUUUGGGCAGCUUCAGGGAAG